CUUGAGCCACAGCGCCACUGACGGCUUUUUCUAUAUAUGUGAUGCUGAGGAAUGGAACCCAGGGUUUCAUGCAUGUGGGACAAGCACUCUACCACUAGGCCAUAUCCCCAACAAUCCCUAUUUCAACUUGUCUUUAUUAAGACAGAAAAUUCAUUAUUUUAAGACAGUACAUACACUCAUGUUUUAAUAAUUCCACCAGAGGGGAAUGCUUGUUUUACUGGCAUAUCUGACUACAUAUUAAACUGGCAGCACUCUGACACACUGGUUUAAAUAUAAACUAGAAAUUUCUAGAUAUUAUAAAGAAAACUUUUACACAAUCAAUUAAAAAAAUGUAAGGUCAAUUUCUACCAACAAGGAGAAAGCUCUACAUGUCCCAUAUAAAUAACCUGGAACAAACAAAUCUCUUUUAGUAGUGGCCAAAGUACGGCUAGUAUCAAACAUUUAAAUUCAGCAAAUGGCCAUCAAUUUAACUUACCUUUCCGCUCAGUUACACAAUCCCACCUGUAGGGCAUGCCCCAGACUUUUUUACAAGGCCACUUAAGCUACUAUUUAAAAGA